AGCCUGAACGCUGGCGGCGUGGCUAAGACAUGCAAGUCGUACGGACGUAGCAAUACGUUAGUGGCGAACGGGUGAGUAAUGUAUCGCUAAUGUGCCCCGAACUCAGGGAUAGCCAGUCGAAAGACUGGGUAAUACCUGAUGACACAACUUUGUCGCAUGGCGAAGUUUUCAAAGAGUAAUCGGUUUGGGAUCAGGCGAUAUCGUAUCAGCUAGUUGGUGAGGUAACGGCUCACCAAGGCGAUGACGCGUAGCCGGGCUGAGAGGUUGGCCGGCCACAUCGGAACUGAGACACUGUCCGGACUCCUACGGGGGGCUGGCAGUAACGAAUCUUCCGCAAUGCACGCAAGUGUGACGGAGCGACGCCGCGUGUGGGACGAAGUCCUUCGGGAUGUAAACCACUGUCAGGGGAUAGAAAGUUCUGAUCAUCCCCAGAGGAAGGGCGACUACUCUGCGCCAGCAGCCGCGGU
rnacentral:rRNA from 1 species